GCAGGUUAGCGGCGGACGGGUGAGUAACACGUGGGCAACCUGCCUGUAAGACUGGGAUAACUCCGGGAAACCGGAGCUAAUACCGGAUAGUAUCUUGAACCGCAUGGUUCAAGUUGGAAAGACGGUUUCGGCUGUCACUUACAGAUGGGCCCGCGGCGCAUUAGCUAGUUGGUGAGGUAAUGGCUCACCAAGGCAACGAUGCGUAGCCGACCUGAGAGGGUGAUCGGCCACACUGGGACUGAGACACGGCCCAGACUCCUACGGGAGGCAGCAGUAGGGAAUCUUCCGCAAUGGACGAAAGUCUGACGGAGCAACGCCGCGUGAGUGAUGAAGGUUUUCGGAUCGUAAAACUCUGUUGUUAGGGAAGAACAAGUGCGAGAGUAACUGCUCGCACCUUGACGGUACCUAACCAGAAAGCCACGGCUAACUACGUGCCAGCAGCCGCGGUAAUACGUAGGUGGCAAGCGUUGUCCGGAAUUAUUGGGCGUAAAGCGCGCGCAGGCGGUUUCUUAAGUCUGAUGUGAAAGCCCCCGGCUCAACCGGGGAGGGUCAUUGGAAACUGGGAAACUUGAGUGCAGAAGAGGAGAGUGGAAUUCCACGUGUAGCGGUGAAAUGCGUAGAGAUGUGGAGGAACACCAGUGGCGAAGGCGACUCUCUGGUCUGUAACUGACGCUGAGGCGCGAAAGCGUGGGGAGCGAACAGGAUUAGAUACCCUGGUAGUCCACGCCGUAAACGAUGAGUGCUAAGUGUU
rnacentral:rRNA from 1 species